rnacentral:rRNA from 1 species
AGUGAACGCUGGCGGUAGGCCUAACACAUGCAAGUCGAACGGCAGCACAGUAAGAGCUUGCCCUUACGGGUGGCGAGUGGCGGACGGGUGAGGAAUACAUCGGAAUCUACUUUUUCGUGGGGGAUAACGUAGGGAAACUUACGCUAAUACCGCAUACGACCUACGGGUGAAAGCAGGGGAUCUUUGGACCUUGCGCGAUUGAAUUAGCCGAUGUCGGAUUAGCUAGUGGGCGGGGUAAAGGCCCACCAAGGCGACGCUCCGUAGCUGGUCUGAGAGGAUGAUCAGCCACACUGGAACUGGGACACGGUCCAGACGCCUACGGGAGGCAGCAGUGGGGAAUAGUGGACAAUAGGCACAAGCCUGAUCCAGCCAUACCGCGUGGGUGAAGAAGGCCUUCGGGUUGGAAAGCCCUUUUGUUGGGAAAGAAAAGCAGCAGGUUAAUACCCCGCUGUUCUGACGGUACCCAAAGAAUAAGCACCGGCUAACUUCGUG